AGUUAUGGUAAGUGGAGAAAGGGAAGGAGCCCUCGUGCGGUGCGUUGGUGGUAUAGUGGUUAGCAUAGCUGCCUUCCAAGCAGUUGACCCGGGUUCGAUUCCCGGCCAACGCAAGUGGGUUUGCUUUUCUUUCUGCUUCGCAUAGAUUUCGAAGCUCAUCCAAAACGCGUCUCGUAGCGCGGUUUUCCCCGGCUGGGUGCAGACGGUCACCAGCACGGCCGGUGGAAUGUGCAUGUUGCCCUGCUUUGAAAGUACGGUGCUGUCCUUUUGGUCCCAAAUCUCAUCAAGAGGAGCUGCGAGGCCUCGAAGAGUUGGGAGGAGAGACCUGCUGGCUGAGGAAGAGGUGGGUGUUCCACACCACUGUGUAUGAAGACAUUCUGGCAGUGUUCCUUUCAGAAAGGUGAACAGCCCAGCAAGGAGCAGAAGGUGCGUUCCUCACACACGGCACAAUGCCCACAGCACAGUAAGGCCUCGUGCCCAGCUCCUCAUGGCACUGCUGGAGGCUUCAGGCCUGCUGCAUUCCCUCCUGGCAGCCUGCGCCCCUCAGCCCAUGCCCACUCACUCAGCUCUGCGGCCCAGGCCGAAGCCAGGUGUGCAGACUGUAUGCAAGGACAAGACGUGGCGCUUAGGGGCCACGUGUGAAGAAGCAGCAGCUCCUUUUCCUGAGGCAGCUGCCACCAGAUGUCGGUAGAACAGUGACAACGAGGAGUGGGGCUUCCUUCAGAGCUGCUCAGAGUGAAUCUGGCCUCAGGACAGGUGGAUGACUGGUGGUCUAUCAGUCAAGUGAUCAGUGGCAAAAGGAGAGGAACAGACCAAACAGUCCCAGGGAGGAAGUUCUUGGAAGGAAACCAGAGAACAGCGUCUUUUCUGGAUAGACAAAGCAGUACAAAGUCAAGAGGUCUCACAGGAACAGAUCCCAGAUUCCUGAAUUCCCAUGCAUUAAAAAAAUGUUACCUCU